GGUGAUUGCAAAGGACGGUCCGGCGUUAGGUGUUGAGCUGUCUCUCGCCAGUCAUGCGUCUGCUCCCCCUCAUUGUCGUGUUUUGUCUGGUGCUGGUGGCCGCUGGAGGCCGAAGGUGCCAAAAAUACGGCCAGGCGUGCGGGAAAUGGAACACAAAAGUCUGCCGCCGGUGCUGGUUUUCCAAGCGUCUCUGCUGCCGUCGGGGCGACACCCUCGUUGAAUGUCGAGCCAAAUGCCAUUUCCCUGGCUUCUGCAGCACACAAGCCGGCACCUGCCGCAAAGGAUGGUGCUGUGUCCGCUGCAAAGGCAAAUAUUGCAGAAAGGGUUAAUUGCACCACUUGCGCCGGCUGCCGCUGUCGUCAACAGAUGCCUAAUGACUGCAGUCAUGCCAGAUAUGAAGAAACUGCAUGCACACGGGAUUUGAAGUUGGUGGCAACUCGCAAGGUGGUGCGUAAUUCAUGGCAGACAUUCAUGCCAACCGGGCGCGUGGCUAUCUGUAAUAGAGCUUGUUAUGGAAUACAAUUAUGGGACGCUG